GGUUAAGCGACUAAGCGUACACGGUGGAUGCCCUGGCAGUCAGAGGCGAUGAAGGACGUGCUAAUCUGCGAUAAGCGUCGGUAAGGUGAUAUGAACCGUUAUAACCGGCGAUUUCCGAAUGGGAAACCCAGUGUGAUUCGUCACACUAUCAUUAACUGAAUCCAUAGGUUAAUGAGGCGAACCGGGGAACUGAAACAUCUAAGUACCCCGAGGAAAAGAAAUCAACCGAGAUUCCCCCAGUAGCGGCGAGCGAACGGGGAGGAGCCCAGAGCCUGAAUCAGUGUGUGUGUUAGUGGAAGCGUCUGGAAAGGCGCGCGAUACAGGGUGACAGCCCCGUACACAAAAAUGCACAUGCUGUGAGCUCGAUGAGUAGGGCGGGACACGUGGUAUCCUGUCUGAAUAUGGGGACCAUCCUCCAAGGCUAAAUACUCCUGACUGACCGAUAGUGAACCAGUACCGUGAGGGAAAGGCGAAAAGAACCCCGGCGAGGGAGUGAAAAGAACCUGAAACCGUGUACGUACAAGCAGUGGGAGCCUCUUUAUGGGGUGACUGCGUACCUUUGUAUAAUGGGUCAGCGACUUAUAUUCUGUAGCAAGGUUAACCGAAUAGGGGAGCCGAAGGGAAACCGAGUCUUAACUGGGCGUUAAGUUGCAGGGUAUAGACCUGAAACCCGGUGAUCUAGCCAUGGGCAGGUUGAAGGUUGGGUAACACUAACUGGAGGACCGAACCGACUAAUGUUGAAAAAUUAGCGGAUGACUUGUGGCUGGGGGUGAAAGGCCAAUCAAACCGGGAGAUAGCUGGUUCUCCCCGAAAGCUAUUUAGGUAGCGCCUCGUGAAUUCAUCUCCGGGGUAGAGCACUGUUUCGGCAAGGGGUCAUCCCGACUUACCAACCCGAUGCAAACUGCGAAUACCGGAGAAUGUUAUCACGGGAGACACACGGCGGGUGCUAACGUCCGUCGUGAAGAGGGAAACAACCCAGACCGCCAGCUACAGGUCCCAAAGUCAUGGUUAAGUGGGAAACGAUGUGGGAAGGCCCAGACAGCCAGGAUGUUGGCUUAGAAGCAGCCAUCAUUUAAAGAAAGCGUAAUAGCUCACUGGUCGAGUCGGCCUGCGCGGAAGAUGUAACGGGGCUAAACCAUGCACCGAAGCUGCGGCAGCGACACUAUGUGUUGUUGGGUAGGGGAGCGUUCUGUAAGCCUGCGAAGGUGUACUGUGAGGUAUGCUGGAGGUAUCAGAAGUGCGAAUGCUGACAUAAGUAACGAUAAAGCGGGUGAAAAGCCCGCUCGCCGGAAGACCAAGGGUUCCUGUCCAACGUUAAUCGGGGCAGGGUGAGUCGACCCUAAGGCGAGGCCGAAAGGCGUAGUCGAUGGGAAACAGGUUAAUAUUCCUGUACUUGGUGUUACUGCGAAGGGGACGGAGAAGGCUAUGUUGGUAGGGCGACGGUUGUCCCGGUUUAAGCGUGUAGGCUGGUUUUCCAGGCAAAUCCGGAAAAUCAAGGCUGAGGCGUGAUGACGAGGCACUACGGUGCUGAAGCAACAAAUGCCCUGCUUCCGGGAAAAGCCUCUAAGCAUCAGGUAACAUCAAAUCGUACCCCAAACCGACACAGGUGGUCAGGUAGAGAAUACCAAGGCGCUUGAGAGAACUCGGGUGAAGGAACUAGGCAAAAUGAUGUCGUAACUUCGGGAGAAGGCACGCUGAUAUGUAGGUGAAGUCCCUCGCGGAUGGAGCUGAAAUCAGUCGAAGAUACCAGCUGGCUGCAACUGUUUAUUAAAAACACAGCACUGUGCAAACACGAAAGUGGACGUAUACGGUGUGACGCCUGCCCGGUGCCGGAAGGUUAAUUGAUGGGGUUAGCGGUAACGCGAAGCUCUUGAUCGAAGCCCCGGUAAACGGCGGUACGUAACUAUAACGGUCCUAAGGUAGCGAAAUUCCUUGUCGGGUAAGUUCCGACCUGCACGAAUGGCGUAAUGAUGGCAAGGCUGUCUCCACCCGAGACUCAGUGAAAUUGAACUCGCUGUGAAGAUGCAGUGUACCCGCGGCAAGACGGAAAGACCCCGUGAACCUUUACUAUAGCUUGACACUGAACAUUGAGCCUUGAUGUGUAGGAUAGGUGGGAGGCUUUGAAGUGUGGACGCCAGUCUGCAUGGAGCCGACCUUGAAAUACCACCCUUUAAUGUUUGAUGUUCUAACGUUGGCCCCUGAUCGGGGUUGCGGACAGUGUCUGGUGGGUAGUUUGACUGGGGCGGUCUCCUCCUAAAGAGUAACGGAGGAGCACGAAGGUUGGCUAAUCCUGGUCGGACAUCAGGAGGUUAGUGCAAUGGCAUAAGCCAGCUUGACUGCGAGCGUGACGGCGCGAGCAGGUGCGAAAGCAGGUCAUAGUGAUCCGGUGGUUCUGAAUGGAAGGGCCAUCGCUCAACGGAUAAAAGGUACUCCGGGGAUAACAGGCUGAUACCGCCCAAGAGUUCAUAUCGACGGCGGUGUUUGGCACCUCGAUGUCGGCUCAUCACAUCCUGGGGCUGAAGUAGGUCCCAAGGGUAUGGCUGUUCGCCAUUUAAAGUGGUACGCGAGCUGGGUUUAGAACGUCGUGAGACAGUUCGGUCUCCUAUCUGCCGUGGGCGCUGGAGAACUGAGGGGCUGCUCCUAGUACGAGAGGACCGGAGUGGACGCAUCACUGGUGUUCGGGUUGUCAUGCCAAUGGCACUGCCCGGUAGCUAAAUGCGGAAGAGAUAAGUGCUGAAAGCAUCUAAGCACGAAACUUGCCCCGAGAUGAGUUCUCCCUGACUCCUUGAGAGUCCUGAAGGAACGUUGAAGACGACGACGUUGAUAGGCCGGGUGUGUAAGCGCAGCGAUGCGUUGAGCUAACCGGUACUAAUGAACCGUGAGGCUUAACCUU
rnacentral:rRNA from 1 species